rnacentral:lncRNA from 1 species
AUGUGCAGACAGGCCGGCAGCGGGUUUCUUUCGAGCCGGCGACGAACGAACAAUUCAUUCGAGCUAGCAACGCGUUAUGAGCGAUAGUUGUGGAAAUAAUUGUGCGAGCUUUGUUAAUUGCAGACGGUUUCUAGCAAUCUUGUGUUAAAAAAAAUAAGUAUUGUUUUGAAAAUUUUAUUUGGAAAUUGGCUCAUUUUGUUUAUUUUUUUUUAUAAAUAAAAUUGAGUACAUUGUGCAAAAGAAAUAUUUUACAAUUUUGACAUUCGCCCAAAUUUGUAAAAUUUGUGUGAAAACAUUUCUGCGCAUUUGCGCACACACAUAAAGUGCAAAAUAAUUACUGCAGUGUUCAUAUAAAAAAUAAAAUUAAAUAAAGCUAUACAGAAGAGUUUAGCUAAAAAUAACUAAAAUAUUUACAAUAAUUCAAUAGUCGUGGGUGUGCAAUACUUUUGAGACAUAAUAAAGCUUCAACUGCCGACCAAAAAAUAUUUGCGAAAAUCCUCAGAAGCAAUCAAGGCGAAAAACAACGAAUUUUUCUUGAAAAACUCAAGCUGAA